CAGAAAUCACGAAGCAUUUAGGUCCUACAUGUUCAGUUUAAUCACGCCAUUUAACCCGGCUUUAAUCCCUUUAUAUAGACCCCCUCCUACGUACAUUUUCCUCAUCUCUUCUCUCUCUCUCCUAUCACUUGCAAACAUGACCACUUCACUCUCUUUGUUCUUCUUCCUCUUCUCUCUCCUCACCUUAACCACACUCAUUUCCUCUUCCCCACUUCAGGACCCUGAAUUGGUGUCACAAGAGGUGAACAGGUAUAAUGUCACACCACUUCUCCAUAUUAACUAAAUGUACAUUAUAUAUAAUAAAUAUAAUAUUAUGCUAGCUAUUAUAUGCAUUAUGUUAAUGCAAUUCAUUAGGUUCACAUUUUUCAUUUCCUAGCUCAUGUUUCCAAAUUAUACCAACGUGAAUAUUUUUUUGGACUAGCCACAAAUAUUAUCUAAGGGGGUCAAUUUUAUUCUAGCCACAACCACUUCAUAUAUGUUUACUUAUUUUAUUUUUGUGCAGGGAAAUCAAUGCCUCUAUGGCUAGGAGGAACUUGGGGUACCUUUCAUGUGGGACAGGAAACCCCAUUGAUGAUUGUUGGAGGUGUGACCCUAACUGGGAAAAUAACAGGCAAAGGCUAGCAGAUUGUGCAAUUGGGUUUGGCAAAAAUGCAGUGGGUGGAAGGGAUGGUAAGAUAUAUGUGGUCACUGACUCAGGUGAUGAUGACCCUGUGACCCCAAAGCCAGGGACACUUCGUUAUGCUGUGAUUCAAGAUGAGCCAUUAUGGAUCAUAUUUGCAAGGGACAUGGUGAUUAAGCUAAAGGAAGAGCUCAUAAUGAAUUCAUUCAAGACAAUUGAUGGAAGAGGUGCUAGUGUUCACAUUGCUGGUGGUCCAUGCAUUACUAUACAAUAUGUAACAAAUGUUAUAGUCCAUGGGAUUAAUAUACAUGAUUGUAAGCAAGGUGGUAAUGCUAUGGUGAGGGACUCCCCACAGCACUAUGGGUGGAGGACCAUAUCGGAUGGUGAUGGUGUUUCCAUCUUUGGAGGAAGUCACAUAUGGGUAGACCAUUGUUCUUUGUCUAAUUGCAAUGAUGGGUUAAUUGAUGCUAUUCAUGGAUCCACAGCUAUUACAAUAUCCAACAAUUACAUGACACACCAUGACAAAGUCAUGUUAUUGGGUCACAGUGAUACAUAUACUCAAGACAAAAACAUGCAGGUCACAAUAGCUUUCAAUCACUUUGGAGAAGGUCUAGUUCAAAGGAUGCCAAGGUAAAGUUAUGAAGUGAAGUAAAUUAUUGUUUCCUAUUUCCAACUCAUAGCUCAGAGCCUUUAAAAAGUUAAAUAAAAGUGACACUACAAGUUUUCCAAUUCUUACGAUAAUUUGUACAUACACACCAAGAAAAGAAACACAAAAAGGAAAAAGAGGAGUAAAGUGAAAGUGAAAGGGAUGUAUAGAAAUGAAAGCAUGUGCAUGGGGCUGAGUGUGUGUCACUUUGUCAAUACUCUUAAUUACUAUGUGGGACCUCUAGUGCUAAAAUUUGAAAAACAUAUGUGAUUGUUGCAGGUGUAGGCAUGGAUAUUUCCAUGUGGUGAACAAUGACUAUACCCACUGGGAAAUGUAUGCCAUUGGUAUCAACCUAAUUGCUUAACAGCAAGCAUGUGAGAGAGGAAUGAUUUGAUGAAAUAAUCCAUAACAAACAAAAAUCCAUGGGGUGUUAUACACACUUUGGUACUUUUUGGUGUCGGUGUAUGUUCUGAUCGUAUUCUUAUACAGCGUACAUUCCCUUCUUUAAGUGCCUGCUAAUCCUAUCAUGAAUCAUCUUACAUAUAUGCCUUCUGGAAAAACAAUUAUGUGAUGUAAAUUGUUGAAGAAAAUUUGAAAAAGCAACUUAAAGAAAAUAUUCAACUUUGAUUUAAUAUUCAAAUAAAAAAUAUUUAAAUUUACUCUCUUGAUGGUAAGUAUUGUGGAUGGGGUUUAGAUGAAACCUUACUUAGGUCCAGAUAAGUAACUUAUCGUGAUAGAAUGAUGGUAAUAUCGACUUAUCACGACGAAAACCUCUAAUAUUCGAACUCCAGCACAAAGAAUCAGUGAGUUGUCAUUAAAGGUAAGAUUGGCCCCUGUUGGGUUUAUUGAAGUCCCACAUUGGAUAUGCGGGGAGGAAUGAAAGAGUUUAUAAGAGUGAAAGAUCCAUAGAAUUAAUACCUUAAGAUUUUGGUUCAAGACGUGGUGUCUCACUUGGCAGAUUUAUUCUUAAGUAAUUAUUUGGGUAUAACUUUAAGAGUAGCCUAUAUUGUGAUUUUUAAUAACUCUUUUAUCAUUCAAAUUAAUUAAUAAUUUUUCGAGAUGGUCUUUUUUCCGCCUUACAUUGUAUUCUUCAAGAAUGAGCUUCUCCAAUAUGACAAUUAAAAAUGCAGGAUUAUAUGGAUAUCAAGCUCAAGAUUUUCUAAGAUGCCUCCUGAAUUAAUGCAAGAGAUGGACCCAUCGGAGCAAUUAAGUCAAUAUCUUCCACCACGUAACAUUUUAACUUUUCACUCGACCGUUUAUAUAAAACAAAGUCAAAGUAAAAGAAUUUUCUGCCAAGAAAAUGUAUCAAAUGUGAAGAGAACAAAUUUACCUCCUCGGCCUAUAUAUAUAAACUAAUUAAAUUAAUUAACCGCGUGAAGUGCCCAUUACUUCAUUACGUGAUCACUGCAUUAAUGAAGCUUUAUUUUUAGUAGCAAAUUAUUGAGUAGAGUAAGGUUAAUCACAGUGGCCAUUACACAUUCCGUAGUGAUACUGCUAAAUUUGGUUAUUCUCAUCAACGUUUAGUUACAUUUUUUAUGGAUAAGAACGUUUAGGCAUGUUAAUGUGGCAAGAGAAGCAUUUUGUUGAAAACGUCUCCAGAAUGAGUUUUAUAAGUAUAUAUACAUAUCAAUUUAAUUGGAAACUGUAUAAUCAAUUAGGUGGGUAUAUUUGGUAUCACUUAUCACAAACCAUAUAAUAAUUUCUCAUAUCAAGACUUUUGCAUAUUAGGUCCAGAACAAGUUGUAAAAUUUUGUAUGAAAUCUAUAUAAUCACAGUCUAAAAUUUCUGUUUAGCUAAACAAAAUGGUAUACUCAGUUCAAGAAUGAAGUAUAUGUAAGUUGUAGUGAAAAUCAACAUUACUCUGCAGUAAAACAAUAUGUGAAUAAGAUUGUUUGGACUUUGGACCAUCACAGUCAUGAUUUAGGCCUUGCUUAACGGACCAAACUACCCAAUUGGUAUCCCGUGAAACCAGAAAUCACGAAGCAUUUAGGUCCUACAUGUUCAGUUUAAUCACGCCAUUUAACCCGGCUUUAAUCCCUUUAUAUAGACCCCCUCCUACGUACAUUUUCCUCAUCUCUUCUCUCUCUCUCCUAUCACUUGCAAACAUGACCACUUCACUCUCUUUGUUCUUCUUCCUCUUCUCUCUCCUCACCUUAACCACACUCAUUUCCUCUUCCCCACUUCAGGACCCUGAAUUGGUGUCACAAGAGGUGAACAGGUAUAAUGUCACACCACUUCUCCAUAUUAACUAAAUGUACAUUAUAUAUAAUAAAUAUAAUAUUAUGCUAGCUAUUAUAUGCAUUAUGUUAAUGCAAUUCAUUAGGUUCACAUUUUUCAUUUCCUAGCUCAUGUUUCCAAAUUAUACCAACGUGAAUAUUUUUUUGGACUAGCCACAAAUAUUAUCUAAGGGGGUCAAUUUUAUUCUAGCCACAACCACUUCAUAUAUGUUUACUUAUUUUAUUUUUGUGCAGGGAAAUCAAUGCCUCUAUGGCUAGGAGGAACUUGGGGUAC
rnacentral:lncRNA from 1 species